rnacentral:rRNA from 1 species
AACCUAUGCAGGCAGUCAAGAUGAGAAUUCUAAGGAGAGCGAGCGAACUCUCGUUAAGGAACUCGGCAAAAUGACCCCGUAACUUCGGGAGAAGGGGAGCUCUUUAGGGUUAACGCCCAGAAGAGCCGCAGUGAAUAGGCCCAAGCGACUGUUUAUCAAAAACACAGGUCCCUGCUAAACCGUAAGGCGAUGUAUAGGGGCUGACGCCUGCCCGGUGCUGGAAGGUUAAGCGGAGUGGUUAGCUUCUGCGAAGCCACGAAGCGAAGCCCCAGUAAACGCCGUCCGUAACUAUUACGGUCCUAAGGCAGCGAAAUUGCGUGUCGGGUAAGGUCCCACCCGCACGAAAGGCGGAACGCAUUGGGCACCGUCUCAAAGAGAGAC